rnacentral:rRNA from 1 species
UACCCGCGCCACGAGUGGUGACCACGUUUAUUGGGCUUAAAGCGUUCGUAGCCGGUUCAGCAAGUCUCUAGUGAAAUCCCGCAGCCAACUGCGGGGCUUGCUAGGGAAACUGCGGUACUUGGGACCGGGAGAGGCCGAGGGUAUUCCAGGGGUAGGGGUAAAAUCCUGUAAUCCUUGGGAGACCAUCUGUGGCGAAGGCGCUCGACCAGAACGGAUCCGACGGUGAGGGACGAAAGCCAGGGGAGCAAAGGGGAUUAGAUACCCCCGUAGUCCUGGCUGUAAACGAUGCCCACUAGACAUUGGCAAUCUCAUGGGGGGUUGUCAGUGCCGUAGCGAAAGCGUUAAGUGGGCCGCCUGGGGAGUACGGUCGCAAGGCUGAAACUUAAGGGAAUUGGGCGGGGGAGCACACGAAGGGGUGGAGGCUGCGGUUU